UAUAUACAGACAGGCGUGGCUGUGUGGUAAGUAGCUUGCUUACCAACCACAUGGUUCCGUGUUCAGUCCCACUGCGUAGCACCUUGGGCAAGUGUGUCCUACUGUAGCCUCGGGCCGACCAAAUCCUUGUGAGUGGAUUUGGUAGACGGAAACUGAAAGAAGCCCGCCGUAUAUAUAUAUAUCUAUAUAUGUGUGUGUGUGUGUAUGUUUGUGUGUCUGUCUGUCCACUCACCAUUGCUUGAUAACCGAUGCUGGUGUAUUUACGUCCCCGUAACUUAGCCGUUCGGCAAAGAGACCGAUAGAAUAAGUUAAUAUAUGUGUAUGGAUAUAUACAUAUAUAUAUAUAUGUAUAAAUACAUAACUACAUUAUAUAUAUAUAUAUAUGUGUGUGUGUGUGUGUGUAUAAAUUUAUAUAUUCAGAAACACAUAAUUGUAUAUAUUGCGUAUAUAUAAUUAUAUUUUUUGACAUUAUACAUAAUUUUAUAUAUAAUAAUAUAUACGUACGUAUACAUACAGACACACAAUGACUCUGUGCGCGCGCGCGCGCGUGUGUGUGUGUGCGUCUGUAUUUAUGGCUGUAACUAUGUGCAUGCGUGUGCGUGGGAAUGCGCAUUUAACGCGCGCGCGCGCGUGUGUGUGUGUGUUUGCAUGUGUGUGUAUUCUUUCGACCCCGAAAGAAUAAAAGACAUAGUCGACCUCCGUGGAAUUUGAACUCAGAACGUAAAGACGGCGUGCUAACGGUUCUGCCAGCUCGCCGUCUUGUACAACAGUAGAAAUAUCCUUUCUUGAAAAGUACAACGCCUGAAACUGUGGUGGUGGGGGGAAAAUGGUCGGUUACAUCGACCCCAGUGUUUCGCUGGUACUUAUUUUAUGAAUCCCUGAAGGAUGAAAGGCAAGGUCGACCUCAGCGGAAUUUGAACCUAGAAGGUGCAGACGUACGAAAUACUGCUAAGCAUUUUACCCGACGUGCUAACGAUUCUGCCAGCUCGCCGCCUUUUUCAACAACGAUAAUAUCAACAACAAAACGUACGACAACAACAGCAACCACAACAAUUAAACAAUAACAUCGACAACCACAGCAGCAACAACAAUAACAAUAACAAGACCAAGAACCGGCACUCCGUCGGUUACGACGACGAGUUUCUCAGUUGAUCCGAUCAACGGAAUAACCUGCCCGUGAAAUUGACAUGCUAGUGACUGAGUAUUCCUCAGACACGUGUGCCCUUAAUUUAGUUCUCGGGGCGAUUCAGCAUGGACACAGAAUGUGACAAGGCUUGUCCUUUGUAUUACUGGUACUACUCAUUUUUUGCCAGCUGAGUGGACUGGAGCAACGUGAAGUAAAGGGUCUUGCUCAAGGACACAACGUGUCGCUGGGAAUUGAACAAAUGACCUUGCGAUCAUGAGCCGAAUGCCCUAACCACUAAGCCACGCGCCGUCACACGACAGGAACAGGAAGAAAAACGACAACAAAACAACGCCAGUAAAACAACAGAAACAACGGCUUAAAGAACAACAGAAAAAAACACACAACAGAAAUAAUGACAGCAACAACAAUAACAUCAACAAUAGCAAUAACGAAAACCAAGUGCAGAAACAAUGAUAGUAGCAACAACGGUUACAGCGAAUAAUAAACAACAGUUAUGACAAAAAUUAAUAACAACGAAAUAUGCAGCCGGUAACGUAACGAUGUGAGAUAUUAAUUGGCAGAAUAUUAAUAUCAACAACAACAACAGUAAUUCGUAGAAUAAAAGAAACAGCAAGGGUGACGACAACAACAGUAAGAGCGGGGCUAGCAGCAUUAGCAGCAGCAGCGCCGCCGCGCCACCACCACCACUAGCGCUACCUGUUUCAGGUACCAGUGAGAACAUACUUUAUUUGUUAAAUUGUUUACAUUCCAGAACUAAAGAACAAUUGCGUGAAUAAUUUUCACGUUAUUAAGCAACAUUGAGGUGGUUGUAACGCGAGAAAAAACAACAACAACAGCAGCUGUAGAGGCCCAAUGGCCCAGUGGUUAGGGCAGCGGACUCGCGAUCGGAGGAUCACGGUUUCGAUUCCCAGACCGGGCAUUGUGUGUGUUUAUUGUGCGAAAACACCUAAAGCUCCACGGGGCUCUGGCAGGGGGGGGGUGGCGAUCCCUGUUGUACUCUUUCGCCCCAACGUUCUCUCACACUUUCUUCUUGUUUCUUAUUUCCGACUUCCUACGCAACCACUGAGCCUGGAUGCGCAUUCAUCCAUCCGUCGAUGCUCUCGAUAUCGGGGGUUGACCUGCUUUCUCUUCGAUCGGUUCGGCAAAAGAGACCGAUAGAAUAAUUACUAGGCUUACAAAGAAUAAGUCCUGGGGUCGAUUUGCUCGACUAAAAAGAUGGUGCUCCAGCAUGGCCACAGUCAAAUGACUGAAACAAGUAAAAGACUUAAGAGAGGAUAUAUACACAUAUAUAACGAAUGGUAUACACCUGGUAAAUUAUUGGUAAAGCACGAUCACUUUCACAGUGAUCGUUAUGUAUAUGGCAAAUGAAAGACGGAAGAUAUGUGUGUGUGUGUGUGUGUGUAUGUGUGUGUGGUGUGUAUGUGUGUGUGUGUGUGCGUGUGUGUGUGUAGGUAUAUGUAUAUCAAUCCCAGUACAUAACUGGUAUUUUAAUCAAAACCGGUAAGAUAAAAGACAAUGUUUUAAGUUUAACACUCUAACUGGAAUUCUGAUAGUCUUCUCCAUCUCCAUUUCGAUUCAGUCAUUUCUCUGUUUACUUGUUUACUUCUUUCUUUAUUUGAGACCCCCACUUGUGACAGUGUCCUAGGGUUGCCAUCGUUACAUCCGUAAACAAUUCUUCUCCACUUGGCGAGGCUGCAUACUGAAAUGCAGGCUUGCGCCAUUGAUUUGCCUGUACAUCCCUCGAUGUUGCGCCAUUGAUUUGCCUGUACAUCCCUCGAUGUUGGCCGAUCAUCUUUCUAAUACUUGGCGCCUCCCAUUCUCUCCCUUUCUGUCAUUAUUUAUACAAUGGCCUUCGCAAAGCAACAAGGUUCUGUUAAAUAACAGAGACAACUGCAGCAAAGGGGACAAAGUACUAAUCCGAGCUAGGCAAUUAGCAGAUGUGAUUUAAAUCUGCUGAACGUAGAGGGCAGAGGCAGUUCAAACACGUUGGACAUGAUUCAGAACUGCAGAGCAUACAGUAAUGUUCAAAGGGAGAUAAUUACUACCCAACCAAAGGUAAUGAGCUGGCAGAAUCGUUAGAGCUUUUGAGAAAAUGCUUAGCAACAUUUUUUCUGGUGCUUUACAUUCUGAGUUCAAAUCCUGUCUAAGCCGACUUUUUCUUUAAUUCCUCGAGGUCUGUAAAAUAGCUACCUGUAGUGCAGUCAAUGUAAAUGACUCUCCCCCCAAUCUCGAAUCUGUUGGUUUUGUGUCAAAGUUUGAAGGAAUUAUUACCCUACAGUCAUACGAGAGGAAUAUACAGUGCGGGAAUCGAAACCGGGUCGUGAAAUCAGUUUACGGAGAGACUGCUCGGAAAAUUAAAGCGACAGAAGCAUUAUUAAUACCAAAAGACGAUAUUUAUCCCCACUUAAACGCGAUGUUCUGUUAGGACACAGAAUACUACGUUUGUUACCACGAGAGAACCUUGCGGUGCAUGUAAGCAUUCGCGUUUAUAUCGCCAGCGGUAGACAAUCACCGUCAUCGCAGAAAUAAAACAUAAGAACAACAAGUCCAUAAGGCAACUUCUAUGAGGUCGCUCGACCUGCUUAAAUUUUCCGCAAAUUGCAAUAUCCUGUCGCGGCUGCGACGACAAUGCUACAAAAAUGCUGUGUCGACCAAAUUCGGUGUCAUUUUACUUGGAUAAACAUCGAUGCCGCGUUGAGGGGAGGCUUGCAGGUAUAAGAGGAACUGUCUGAGGUUUCCUCAAAAUCUUGUCCAAGUUUGCGUAUACGUGUGUACAGGUACGGUAAACCUUGAGCGACGGGGGCCCGAUGUUUAUCUGUGUACUUUACGAAGGAGUGUAUAUGUGUGUAUAUUACUCGACCCGAUUUUGCUUACAUAUGUGUGUGUAUGUUAGAGAGAGACACAGACAAUCAGAGGGAAAGAGGUAUGUGGUGUUCCUCGAUAGAGUAAUAUUUAUAACGGUAGCUAUUGAACUAUGAAAUGACCAGUAAAUGCAUAUCUAUUUAUACAUGCACACAUACACGCACACACAUACACAAACGUGUAUGCAUACAUACGUAUAUAUAUAUAUAUAUAUAUAUAUAUAUAUAUAUAUAUAUAUAUAUCUAUCGUAAGAUUGUGGUUUCGAUUCCUGGACCGGGUGACGGGUUGUUUUCUUGAGCAAAACACUUCAUUUCACGUUGCUCCAGUCCACUCAGCUGGCAAAAAUGAGUAACGCUGCGAUGGACUGGUGUCCCGUCCAGCUGGGGAACACAUACGCCAAAGAAACCAGGAAACCAGGCCCAUAAACCUGGCUAGGCUUUAAAAGGGCGCAUUUAUUAUUAUUAUUAUUAUUUUAUACCUAUAUGUAUCUGUGUGUGUAUAUAUAUAUAUAUACACUUAUACGUACUAUAUAUAUAUAUAUAUUAUAUAUAUAUAUAUAUAUAUAUAUAUAUAUAUAUAUAUAUAUAUAUAUAUAUAUAUAUAUAUAUAUAUAUAUAAACAAUUGCAGCGUGGAAGGUGUUUGUAAGCCAUUUAAGAAACACACAAAAACCAUUAGAUUCACUCCAACAUUUAAGUUUAAUUUGUCAAAAUAUUUUCGUCGCUUUAAGACCGCGACCUGUUCAUUGGCAAAAAUCCGUGCUGCAUAUAUAUAUAUAUAUAUAUAUAUAUAUAUACACAUAUACAUACAUAUGUGUGUGUGUGUGUGUGUGUACGUGCAUACACACAUACACACACACACACAUACAUACACUCACAUGAUAGAUAGCACAGGUGUGGUGCAUUAUAGUGAUAUAGCGCUCGCUGCUAAAAUAUUCCCAUCAUACAUCGACACAGUGUAGACCUGAUGAGAGGUAUUACAACAACAGACAAC
rnacentral:lncRNA from 1 species